CAAUAGCGUAUAUUAAAGUUGUUGCGGUUAAAAGCUCGUAGUUGGAUUUCUGCGGGGGACGAACGGUCCACCUUAUGGGUGAGUAUCUGUCAGGCCCUUGCAUCCUCGUGGGGAACGUCGCUGCGCUUUAUUGCGUGGUACGGAAUCCACGACUUUUACUUUGAGGAAAUUAGAGUGUUCACGGCAGGCAAACGCCCUGAAUAUGUUAGCAUGGAAUAAUAAUAUAGGACUUUGGUUUUAUUUUGUUGGUUUCUAGGGCCGAAGUAAUGAUUAAGAGGGACAAUUGGGGGCAUCCGUAUUUCGUUGUCAGAGGUGAAAUUCUUGGAUUUACGAAAGACGAACAACUGCGAAAGCACUUGCCAAGAGUGUUUUCAUUAAUCAAGAACGAAAGUUAGAGGAUCGAAGACGAUUAGAU
rnacentral:rRNA from 1 species